rnacentral:rRNA from 1 species
CGCGGCCUAUCAGCUUGUUGGCGAGGUAAUGACUCACCAAGGCUAAGACGGGUAGCUGGUCUAAGAGGAUGGUCAGCCACACUGGGACUGAGACACGGCCCAGAGUCCUACGGGAUGCAGCAGUCAGGAAUAUUGCGCAAUGGAGGAAACUCUGACGCAGCGACGCCGCGUGGGUGAUGAAGGCCUUCGGGUCGUAAAGCCCUGUCGGAAGGGAAGAAAAGCUUGCUGGCUAAUAUCCAGCGAGCCUUUGACGGUACCUUCAAAGGAAGCACCGGCUAACUCCGUGCCAGCAGCCGCGGUAAGACGGAGGGUGCAAGCGUUGUUCGGAUUGACUGGGCGUAAAGGGCGUGUAGGCGGUUCGUUAAGUCGGGUGUGAAAGCCCGGGGCUCAGCUCCGGAAGUGCGCCCGAAACUGGCGAGCUGGAGCGCGGUAGAGGAGGGUGGAAUUCCUGGUGUAGCGGUGAAAUGCGUAGAUAUCAGGAGGAACACCGGCGGCGAAGGCGGCCCUCUGGACCGUUGCUGACGCUGAGACGCGAAAGCGUGGGGAGCAAACAGGAUUGGAUACCCUGGUAGUCCACGCUGUAAACGAUGGGUACUAGGUGUUCGGGGUGUUGACCCCCUGAGUGCCGACGCUAACGCAUUAAGUACCCCGCCUGGGGAGUACGG